UACAGAGGUCUCAAGCGUUGUUCGGAAUCACUGGGCGUAAAGGGUGCGUAGGCGGGUCUUUAAGUCAGGGGUGAAAUCCUGGAGCUCAACUCCAGAACUGCCUUCGAUACUGAGAGUCUUGAGUCCGGGAGAGGUGAGUGGAACUGCGAGUGUAGAGGUGAAAUUCGUAGAUAUUCGCAAGAACACCAGUGGCGAAGGCGGCUCACUGGCCCGGUACUGACGCUGAGGUGCGAAAGCGUGGGGAGCAAACAGG
rnacentral:rRNA from 1 species